rnacentral:rRNA from 1 species
GACGAACGCUGGCGGCGUGCCUAAUACAUGCAAGUAGAACGCACAGUCUAUACCGUAGCUUGCUACACCAUAGACUGUGAGUUGCGAACGGGUGAGUAACGCGUAGGUAACCUGCCUGGUAGCGGGGGAUAACUCUUGUAAACGAUAGCUACUACCGCAUAAUAUUAAUUAUUGCAUGACAAUUAAUUGAAAGGAGCAAUUGCACCACUACCAGAUGGACCUGCGUUGUAUUAGCUAGUAGGUGAGGUAACGGCUCACCUAGGCGACGAUACAUAGCCGACCUGGGAGGGUGAUCCGCCACACUGGGACUGAGACACGGCCCAGACUCCUACGGGAGGCAGCGGUAGGGACUCUUCGGAAAUGGACGGAAGUCUGACCGAGCAACGCCGCGCGAGUGCAGAAGGUCUUCGGAUCGUAAAGCUCUGUUGUAGGAGAAGAACGGGUUUGGCAGUGGAAAGUUCACACGGGAAGGUUAUCGUACCAGAAGGGCCCGGCUAACUCCGU